GUAGGGAAUAUUGCGCAAUGGGGGAAACCCUGACGCAGCGACGCCGCGUGAGUGAUGAAGGCCUUCGGGUCGUAAAGCUCUGUUGCCGGGGAAUAAAAAAAUGAAGGUACCCUGUGAGGAAGGAUCGGCUAACUUCGUGCCAGCAGCCGCGGUAAGACGAGGGAUCCUAGCGUUGCUCGGAAUCAUUGGGCGUAAAGAGGGCGUAGGUGGCUUGGUAAGUCAGGUGUGAAAGCCCAGGGCUCAACCCUGGAAGUGCAUUUGAUACUGCUGAGCUUGAGUGUCGGAGAGGUUACCGGAAUACCUGGUGUAGUGGUGAAAUACGUAGAUAUCAGGUGGAACACCGGAGGCGAAGGCGGGUAACUGGACGAACACUGACACUGAGGCCCGAAAGCGUGGGGAUCAAACAGGAUUAGAAACCCGUGUAGUCC
rnacentral:rRNA from 1 species